rnacentral:rRNA from 1 species
GAUGAACGCUAGCGACAGGCUUAACACAUGCAAGUCGAGGGGCAGCACGGGAGUAGCAAUACAACUGGUGGCGACCAGCGCACGGGUGAGUAACGCGUAUGCAACCUACCUAUCAGAGGGGAAUAACCCGGCGAAAGUCGGACUAAUACCGCAUAAAACAGGGGCACCGCAUGGUGAUAUUUGUUAAAGAAAUUCGCUGAUAGAUGGGCAUGCGUUCCAUUAGGUAGUUGGUGAGGGAACGGCUCACCAAGCCGACGAUGGAUAGGGGAACUGAGAGGUUGGUCCCCCACACUGGUACUGAGACACGGACCAGACUCCUACGGGAGGCAGCAGUGAGGAAUAUUGGUCAAUGGGCGGGAGCCUGAAACAGCCAAGUCGCGUGAAGGAAGAAGGAUCUAUGGUUCGUAAACUUCUUUUGCAGGGGAAUAAAGUGCAGGACGUGUCCUGUUUUGUAUGUACCCUGAGAAUAAGGAUCGGCUAACUCCGUGCCAGCAGCCGCCGUAAUAC